GCUCAAAUUUGAAAUCUAGCACUUUCAGUGUUCGAGUUGUAAUUUGAAGAAGGUAACUUUGGAAUUGGCUCUUGUCUAUGUUCCUUGGAACAGGACGUCACAGAGGGUGAGAAUCCCGUGCGAUGAGAUGUCCAAUUCUAUGUAAAGUGCUUUCGAAGAGUCGAGUUGUUUGGGAAUGCAGCUCUAAGUGGGUGGUAAAUUCCAUCUAAAGCUAAAUAUUGGCGAGAGACCGAUAGCGAACAAGUACAGUGAUGGAAAGAUGAAAAGAACUUUGAAAAGAGAGUGAAAAAGUACGUGAAAUUGUUGAAAGGGAAGGGCUUGAGAUCAGACUUGGUAUUUUGUGUUCCUUAUCCUUCUUGGAUUAGGUUCCUCACAGCUUACCGGGCCAGCAUCGGUUUGGAUGGCAGGAUAAUGACAUUGGAAUGUAGCUUUGCUUCGGUGAAGUGUUAUAGACUUUGUUGAUACUGCCUAUCUAGACCGAGGACUGCGUCUUUGACUAGGAUGCUGGCGUAAUGAUCUUAAGCCGCCCGUCUUGAAACACGGACCAU
rnacentral:rRNA from 1 species